UUUCUUAUCUAGUAUAAGAUCUAGUGUAAAUAUAUUUGAUUAGCAUGUCUGUGAAACUCAUCUAUGCCAUCUGGAAAGGAAAAAGUUAAGUUGCAUUUUUGCAAUAUAUUCUCCCUUCCCUGGGGACGCUCCUGGAAAAUAAAGAAGUCAAGAAAAUAUUUAGUGGGACUUGAGCUUUCUGUAAUACUUUGGAACAGGACUAGAAUCUAUUUCAGGGUUUAAAAUAUGGUUCUUGCUUUCCUUGAGUCUCUUCUCCCAGAUAUGACAUAUUGGCCCUCUUCCCUGUGACAUGCCUAAUCUGCCAUUGGCUGGCUUUCAUACUAAACUUUUGUUUUUAGCCUACUAUCAAUUCCACUUUUACAUUGACAAAACAUAUUUUUUUUGUUUGUCAAUGUAAAAACUGAAAUUUUUACAUUCAACUUUAUUAAAUUUCAAUGAUGAAUUUAAAUUUAAAUGCUGAAAAUUUAAGAACUAAAAAUGAUAUUUGAAUAGAUAUGUUUAUAAACAGACAUAUGUCUCAUUUUUGUAUGCAGUCAACACAUCACAUGUGUAUGUCUCUUGUAUGUUUCUACGUGGGAAUAACUUGAAUUACUAUGUAAGCUCCCUGAGAAUAUUAAGUUUAUUUAGGGAAACACAACAUAUUUACAUGAAAAACAGAAAAUAAUAUUACAAAUAAAACUGAGAUCACAAGAUGACAUAUAAUUAAUUCUCAGUGAAUGACAUGCUAUGAAAUCAUCAGAAGAGAUGACUAUAUGGGAAAAGCUUUAUGAAAUUAGUUUGUACUGUAAAGAAAAUUGUGUUUUGUUACACAGAAAGAACUCUUUCCAGUGUGGUAUUAUGUUUCAUAUGAUUUUCAGUGUAUUAAAAUACUCAUAGAGUAAGUUGAAAAGAUAGUUGUAUUCUUUUCAUUUAAUCUUUCAUAAAAUAUAUAAUCAAAAUGAUAUACUUUUAAAAUAAUCACAUAUAACAAAAUCAAUAUACCAGUAAAA